CUCUUAUUCAGAGUGACGGAGAGUAAAGACUCAGUGAAGUCACGGCAACCCCCUAUGGGAAGGUGCUAAGUUGAGCGAGCAAUCGAACAAUGAGAG
rnacentral:ncRNA from 2 species